UACGGAGGGGGGCUAGCGUUGUUCGGAAUUACUGGGCGUAAAGCGCACGUAGGCGGCUUUGCAAGUCAGAGGUGAAAGCCCGGGGCUCAACCCCGGAAUUGCCUUUGAGACUGCAUCGCUAGAAUUGUGGAGAGGUAAGUAGAAUUCCGAGUGUAGAGGUGAAAUUCGUAGAUAUUCGGAAGAACACCAGUGGCGAAGGCGACUUACUGGACACAUAUUGACGCUGAGGUGCGAAAGCGUGGGGAGCAAACAGG
rnacentral:rRNA from 1 species